CAGUCUGCAAAAUACAGCACAUUUAUUCGAAAGGGUAAGGAGCUAAAAAGCUAGGAAAAACACCUUCCAAGGAACAGUAAUCUCGACAAAUUAUUCAGGGACAUUAACUGGGCCUACCAAUAGCAGAACAGCUUUAAUAUGACAAUUAUCAAAUGCACUUGAAAAUCAAAUGGGACUGCUCUUAAAUCAUGACCACAUAUAGAGGUGGUGCAGUGGCUCCAAGUGGAGUGGUGCCUCACUGCUGCACAUAUCAUGUUUGAAAACUCUUUCGCUUCCAAUUACCUGGUAUAUGAGAGCAGAGUUAGGAAAACAUUACGGUCGCAUGGCCACUGACUGGAGGAAGUUCCACGAAAACAAUGGAAACUCCUAUGACACACCCUAGACACGCCCAAUUUCUAUUGUUUUGUGAGGAAGGUUAAGCCUUCUGGGAUGUUUUGUUUGGGGAAAGGUUAACAACUUUUCUGGACUCUGUAUGAGAGAAACACAAUGCAUUUCAUCCCAUCAAACAAAAGCACUGUAGGGUGACGAAAUAGCCUUAUAAAAAUGUUGAUGAUUGUAAUGAAGUUAUGCUUGAAAUUAAGAUAGAGAUCAGAAAGAAAUACCGACCCCAUUGCUGGCAGCGGCAGUUGUAGGCACACAUACGCCAUGGGCACCACAGCUAUUGCCAGUAUUGUCUUGGGCACAUAUUCCACCUUGAGAUACUUGCUGGAGAGAUGAAAUCAACAUUUACAUUAAGCUAUGCAUAAAAGUAAGUAAAGAAGAAUUAUGAAAUAAACAUCAUCAAAAUAACAAUUAAUAAAUACGAAUAUAUAAGGAAAGAACUCUUUUUAAAAAAAACUUAGAUGGACUGGCUGAUUUCUCACCAUAUACGAUAGAAGAACCUAACUACACACAUUCUAGAGUCGAAUCUAAAAACUGCAGUAUUCAUAAAAAUUGAAAUGGUAGGUGCAGGUCGAAUAUCUUAAGCCCAGUCUCCAGUGAGAAAAAAAUCAGCGAAAUGCGAAAAAGUUCGCGCGAAAUACGUCUUAGGCAUGCACAGUGAUCUUUUCCUGGGAUUUCUCGCGAAGAAUUUCUCUGCGAAAAAAAGUUAAAAUGAGUUUAACUUUUUUCGCUUUUCGCUAACGAAAUCCUUCAACAGCCAAUCAAAUUCCGUAUUCCUUUGUCACGCUUCCAAACUUUACAUUCCAAUGUCGUGAGGUCAACAAAAGCAUUCAAAGGCAUUUGUCGCGUGAAGUAUUUCGCAGCGAAAUUUCGCAAGACUUUUUCUCACUGGAGAUUGGGCUUUAGGUUCUUCAUUCUGUGAAGCUUUCUUGACUCUUCUGCAUUUGCUCCUAGAGAGUAUUCUUUUGAGUACGGCAACUCCCAUCUUGAGUUCAAAGAAAUGGCGCUUUGCAUUCAGCCCCUUUAUUUGCUCCCAAGAAAGGGGAAUGGACGAACUCAUUAGAAAGUUAUUGUCUGUUUGUCUCCAAAACAAAGCUGCUGAUCUUAAAACUGAAAGGUUGUCACCAACUUUAAAAUGGCUUAAUUUAAACCAAAUAUACUUUGUAACAAUUAGACAUCGAGGAGCACUGGAUUUCAUGACGUCACAGUGAUUAAUUUGUAAAUGCAGCAUAUUGAUUCGUCAUAAAAACUUUGUUCUUAUUCCUAAAGUGCUAUUGUAAAAAUGGCCUGUAAAAAAAAUUCCUCUGUUGCGGUGGUGUUCUGUUCUACAACCAUUUCAAAGAGCCAUUUGGUAGCCCUGUAGUUUAAAUAUCAUUUUUGGACAGCAAACAAUUUAUGACGUAAGCAAGAUACAUUGGCCCUCGUUUUUACAGGGCAAAGAGUGGUUGUUUUGCGUCCUACCACAGCAACAAAUUGGAUGUAUUCUAGCUCCCUAAUAAUCGUAUUGAAAACAUUGUUUGAAGGAGAAGAGGGUACGCGUAAGUGGGUAUGUGCAUAAUAAAAUUGGGUAUUUCUUCUAAGCUUUGGAAAUAUCUGAAGAAGGCCAAGUCGAAUCUGCAUUCCCGUGUAACUUUCGUACUUUCACUUCAGCCACAUAUCCCAUUAAGAAGUAACACUUUCUUGGACUCUGUGCAGUUCAGACUAGGUGGCUGUGUUUGAUGAUGACUUAAGUAUUAGCUAGUCUCCCCCGAGUUUGGAAUUUUCACUGCCAUGCAGAGGUAGACCGAAGCUUUUCCAAAAUACACUUAACAAGAUCUAGGUAGAGUAACUUUAAAAUACUUUACAGAAACGAAACCUACUCUACAGAUACUUUAAAAGAUAGCGUCACUUUGACAGCUAUGGUUAUGAUUUAUGGGUAAACGCUGGAGAAAGUAGAAAUAAAUCAGCUAUCUAAAUGUAAUCUUAGGUUUUCAACAAUCCGCCAAAGAAGGCUCUUUAAGAUUGUAUAUAGUGAAAUAAAGUACAUUUGUGCAUCGGAUUAAUCCAGUCGGGACCUUGAUCAGCAGCUCUCAGUAUCCUAAAACCGAGCAGCAUUUUAAUUCGGAACAUUCGUCUUGUGCAACACCCUAAGGCAUAAAAGUCUGCGAAAGAAAAGUGGGAUUUUGUACACGAAAGAGACGUUACAUAUCAAAGACAAUUGGCUUAAAGGAGCAUUAAACUUGGAUGAAAACCUGGUUUCUUGUUGAUUUGGCUGCCUGAAUAUUUGAGAAAGGAUGAAAUAAAAAGAAUCAUCGGUGCUUUGUGCUUACAAUCUAGGGAUUGCCACUUUUUGAUGAAAAAUGUACCCGAACACUGUUCAGGUUUUCAGGUUCAAUCUUGUAAAUUUUGAUUUCUAGACUAAAUGUCGCCGUUACAAAACGUCGAGUACUUACAUACGGUCGUUUUCGAUCAUUAAAUGUAAGUAAAUGUCACAAUAUCCAAACUGGAACUAAAAACUUUACUGCCUUUUAGUCUUUCCAACUGAACACCCUGAGAUACCUAACUCAAAAAACAGAAUUGAAAAUCUACAAUUCAUCGUGGCUUUACUUCAGAGCUACUACUUGUUUCAAAUGCCUUUAUUUACUGCAUUUUACAUUUUUUUAACGAAACAACCUAAUUUCGCCAUUACAGAUAUUGCAAACCAAACCUUGAAUGACGAUAUGGAAUGGUCUUUAGUGUCAAAAAUUAAAUCAAUUCUCAAGAUAUUGGUAGGGAUAGUGAGAGACAAUAAAUCUUUCACAACAGAGGGCGAGAAAGAUGAACAAGAUGAUAACAGAUUUUGCUCUAGAAGUUGCAAAGUUCAACGGUCUUUGUGGUGUAAAGUUGGGAACGUCGUUGCAAGUUGACAGUGACAGUCACUGAGUGACUGAGAAGGGCUUGGCUAUGAGAGGGACUGUUCUCAUCUUUUAGGGGAAAAGGACUAUCCACCUGAUGUGUAACAGCAUUUUUAUUCUCAUCACUAUCCUCUUCACCGUCGUAGAUGGCAAAUGGCCUUGCAGUACACGCUUUUUUAUAAGGAACCACUUCGUAAGGAACCUACAUGUAUACCGGAUUGCUAUCGGAGCGGAGCAGAGCGGAGUAACUUUUACUCCAGAGUGAUAUUUGGGGUAGCAGUUACGCUACGACGUUCCGCUCGAUCAUAAGCCUGUAUUCCUUUGCAUCUUUGGUACACAAAAUCCACCAGAUUAAAUUUUUGAUGAUUUUUUCGAAACUAUGUGCUGUUGCGAAUUCGUUGCCAAUAGCUAUGCAUAAAAUGACGAAAACAACCAUGAAACUGAGAGAUAAAUGAUGGGGUUCGUAGCGAGAUUGUGUUGCUAACUGAUGUGUUAAGUAUGUUUUUCGUCCAAGGACCACUUCAUUAAAAUUCGGGAAGAGAUAAAAUCCAAAUACGAAAAUGUUUUGACGAUUUCGAUUUGGCAUUAUCCAACAGCAACAAAAUCUCAGAAAGCGCCAUUGUUCACUAUCGAUCGAAUUGCUUCAAGCAGAAAACAAUAAGAAAAUCCUUUGUUCCAAAGUGGAGCAUAUCGGAUUCGUGCGGUUACACUAGAACGCUCCGCUACAGAGUGAGUCCGGAGUGAUUUUCGGAUCACCUCCAGAGCGGAGUGAUUUUCACUUAGCCUGUGUUCCAGACCCCUUACUUGACUUUCAAGUUAGAGGUCUGGAGCGCAAGCUAUUUUCACUCCGCUAAUCAGAGCGUUGUGUACCGGAUUCGUGCGGCGUAGUGUAACUCAAACCCCUACCCGUUAUGAAAGUUGCUCCGCUCCGAUAGCAAUCCGGUAUAGUGUAACUGGCACCGUAGAAGGCCAAAAUAUUUAAAGAAUGCUCCUAAAAACAAAAUCCCUAAGGAACUUUUUGAUUUGAAAAAUGCUUAUAACUGCAAGCACCAAGAACUAAAAAUCCGGUUCCAUUCAUUUGCAGCCAAUACUCGCAUAGAUUGUUUGCUAUCCGUUUGUCAAUGCUGUCUCGCCCCUCUCUCUAUAAGUGUUAAGGCUUAUUAUAGUCAAAACACCGAAAGCGAGGUUUUUACUUUACGUAGCCUUCUUUGUGCUUAUGCCCUGAGUUCUAGCCACAAGUAAAGGCAAAAAUCAAAAUUUUUAUGUUUUUCCUGUUCCUGUACUAUUUUUAUGGCAGUUGAUGUGCAGUGAAAAUUAAGGAACUAUUGGUACUGCAAUUUGAUAAUUUGAGGUCUACGAAUAAGGAGCUUUCGAAACUAGGCCUUGAGGUAGGUUCCUUAUAAAAAAUAGCAUGUAAUUGCCUUUGAGUAUUUCGUCGAUCUUGUUAAAGAAAGUGCAAGUAGUACGGUCCCUUCUAAAACACUAUCAUUAUCUCCUAUCUGUUUAUAUUUCUUUUUUCGCUGCUUUAUCCUUUCAUUUUUGCUAGUGGCUCAGUUCAUAGCUUUGCACCGGAAAAAGUUUCGCCAUUUUUCGAACGCCAGUCUCUUUCGGACUCUCCCAUAGACGCUCCCCAUAUACUUAGAAGAAGGAGAACUUCUUUUUCACCGCCGUUCAUCAUUAUUGCACAUGUGCGAGUUCACAACUACCCGGGUUAAACCCACUAUGCGUUUACACAAAAAGUUAAUGCUGUUUACCCGGGUCUGGUCGAACCCACCUACGAUAGAUGGGCGAACCCGGGCUAAAUUUCGUAGGGCCCGAGGGCACUCCCAUUAUUACCUAAACGGAGGGUCCAGUCAGGGUCAAAAAGGGCUAAAGCUGAAAUGUUUCAAAAAUAUCCUCAAAUUGUAGUCUUUUUUGACAAUAACCCUCAAACGGUAGCAUAAGGUCCGAAAUUAUGUCUUUGGUAGCAUCCAUUUCUUUGUGCACGUCUGGUCCUUCUUUGAACAAUUUCUGGUCCUUCUUGAUUCGGGAAAGAUUGUAGCUCAUUAUCUAUAAUAAAUUGCAAGCUAAAUUGAGCCCUUGUCUUAAUAUCGAAACUGGCCUUUUGGUUGCCAUUUGGUAAAACCCUCAAUUCGAAUGGACCCCACUGUCAGGCACAAGUCCCGCCAGGACACACGCCUUUUGAAAUCCGUAACGAUGCUUUUGAUUCAUAAAUGCAAUGUUUUUGCAUAGCUUCGACUUUGCUUUACAAAACCAAAGAAACUUAUUAAACAAUUAUUUUGAAAAGAGACCUUUCCCUCAUUCUUCGGGCACUCUAAAAGUCAUGGCAACGUAAAAUUUUCUAUUGUGAAGCACAUCGGAGUCCUAGCUGCCUAUUGCGAUGUAAUAUUGUGUUUCGAAAGAGUAAGUAGAAGAAAUUAUAUUGAAAUUAUAUGAACUGUAGCAAACUAUGUUCGAUGCAAAUGCACAAACAACACACAUAAUUUGUGCCAUGAGAGCUGUUGCUUCUCAGAGCAGAGCACUCUCUUUUUUCCAAAUGUUUCACAUACUUCUGACGAAAAUACAAACUUCUGACGAAAAACACCCCUUCGACACCAGGAUUGAAAGAAAAGAAAAGGAAAAAAUUGAGAUAUAUCAAGACUUGAAGAGAAAGAUCAAGAGACUAUGGAAUGUAAGAGAAGUCAAGAUAGUGCCAAUCAGGGGCGUCGCGGCCGGGGAGGGUGUGGGGGAGUGUCACAGCCCCCAAAUAGUAUCUCGAUAGGAAAUUUCAGGUAAAAUCCGCCCAGUGAAAGAAACGCUUAAGGUAUUUAAGCGACCUUCAUGCAUUAACAUCAAUAAAGGAUCAAGCAAAAAAAAUAGUUACUCCUUUGGCUAAACAUGAUAUUUCUUGAUAUGGAGGAAGUUAAUAAACUAAUGACUUGAAGAUUUGAAGGUUUCUUGUUGGCACAAAAUAAAAAAAUCCAGGCACUUUUUAGGUUAAAUUGUGUCUUGUGUCCAUUUCACCUAAAAAGGCAUGCUAAGUUGGAAAGAGGGAUCUAAAUAGGCAACCAGUGCUGCUUGUUACCUAGCUCAAGAGGUAAUUGACAACAUGGAAUUUUUCAAGACCACGGUGAGAUUGUACCAGUUGUUUUUAUCUGCUGUUCAAUUUGUUCGCAAAAAUAAAAUACUUUUUGGUAGGAUUAGGAGGAUGGCUUUAGUAAAAUUUACUGAGUGCAUUUUCCAGGGAACUGGAAGCAUGAAAAUUCGAAAAUUUUCUGCUCCUUCGGCGGCAACCAUGGUGCCGCCUCGGGUAGUUGCCCGUCCCGGUAUACAGAUUUGGCAAAACUAUUAGAAAAGUCCGUUAUUAUCAUUUUAAAAUAAAAUAAAUGUUGUAAAUUAUAUGCCACACAGUUAGAUCGCCAAAAUGUAUUGCAGAAGUU